rnacentral:rRNA from 1 species
UACGUAGGGUGCAAGCGUUAAUCGGAAUUACUGGGCGUAAAGCGUGCGCAGGCGGUUAUGUAAGACAGGUGUGAAAUCCCCGGGCUUAACCUGGGAAUUGCAUUUGUGACUGCACGGCUAGAGUGUGUCAGAGGGGGGUAGAAUUCCACGUGUAGCAGUGAAAUGCGUAGAUAUGUGGAGGAAUACCGAUGGCGAAGGCAGCCCCCUGGGAUAACACUGACGCUCAUGCACGAAAGCGUGGGGGAG